GAUGAACGCUAGCUACAGGCCUAACACAUGCAAGUCGAGGGACCGACGCACGGGUGAGUAACACGUAUCCAACCCGCCCUUUACUUGGGGAAAGCCUUACGAAAGAAAGAUUAAUAACAGAUGUUAAGGAUGGGGAUGCGUGCGAUUAGGUUGUUGGUGAGGUAACGGCCCACCAAGCCUUCGAUGGAUAGGGGUUCGGAGAGUAAGGUCCCCCACAUUGGAACUGAGACACGGUCCAAACUCCUACGCGAGGCAGCAGUGAGGAAUAUUGGUCAAUGGGCGGUAGCCUGAACCAUCCAGGUAGCGUGAAGGAUGCAGGCUUAUGAGUCGUAAACUUCUUUUAUAGAAUAAUAUGUAUUAAAUGAAUAAGGAUCGGCGAACUCCGUGCCAGCAGCCGCGGUAAUUC
rnacentral:rRNA from 1 species